rnacentral:tRNA from 1 species
GGUGAGGUGGCCGAGAGGCUGAAGGCGCUCCCCUGCUAAGGGAGUAUGCGGUCAAAAGCUGCAUCCGGGGUUCGAAUCCCCGCCUCGCCGCCA